AAAAGCUCUUCGCGGUGCCUCCUAAACGCCGAGUGCAGAGGGUCUCAAGCAUGAGAGCGAAGGACGGAUUUCAUGAAGGUGGGUACAAGUGCAGAAUAAUGAGAAAGUGGCAAGCUUUAAGAAUCGGGAAGCGUAUCCAAAAGGAAGCAGGCAACAGUGACAGUGGUGGCUGUGAAACAGGAAUAUAUAUGUUUGCUGCAUCUUCAUUAUUCUAAACAUGGGCGCUAUCCUACCUGAGCUUUCUCUUCUUGAUGUGAUUUCUACUACGUGCAUGUUCUUCUUGACCUUGUAAGACCUUUUCUUGACCUUGUAAGACCCAGUCCUCUCUCCCCUCCAUCUGCGCUUGCUGCUCCCGAGGACCCUAUCUCACAAUCUGAUGAUAUGGAGUUCCAUCUCUGCCUCCCCCCCUCGCCCCUCAAUUCUCCUUCUCCUUCUCUGUCUAUCCCUCCUGAGCUGUACUUACUUACCUAUAUAUGAGCCUAGCCAGCUACUCCUCCACCGUAAGCAUGGGCAUGCCACGCCCAGGCGUUCCUUUCUUUCCGUUGUUUCUCUUGCAAAUCUGCGGGCCUGGCUAGCUACAGAGUUCAAGUAAGAGCAGAGAUGAAAAAAUGAAGGCCUGCAGCUUGACUGAAACUAGAAAUACUGAUGGAUAUAUGAUGAUGAUAUUGGAAGGGGUGUUUGGAUUGCAUAGGGAGUUCAAAUAAGGACCAUUUGUGUGAAUGUGAAUAUCAAGGCAGUGAAUUUUGGCAUUGUAUGAGAAUAGAGAGAUGAGAGUGCAGAAUAUUGAAGAGAUCUUUCUUUGCAGGCACGCAGGCAGGCUGCCUUCAGUUUGAUUUCCUUGUCUGUAUUAUGUGUAUUUGUGUUGGGCGGUCGAGACAGUGAGUGCGCAAUGCAACAUCCAUCCAUCCAUCCAUCA